rnacentral:rRNA from 1 species
UACGUAGGGUGCGAGCGUUAAUCGGAAUUACUGGGCGUAAAGCGUGCGCAGGCGGUCUGUUAAGACCGAUGUGAAAUCCCCGGGCUUAACCUGGGAACUGCGUUUGAAACUACAAGGCUAGAGUGUGGCAGAGGGGGGUGGAAUUCCACGUGUAGCGGUGAAAUGCGUAGAGAUGUGGAGGAACACCGAUGGCGAAGGCAGGUCUCUGGGCCACUACUGACGCUGAGAAGCGAAAAGCAUGGGGAGCGAACAGG